rnacentral:rRNA from 1 species
GGGCCCGCACAAGCGGUGGAGCAUGUGGUUUAAUUCGAUGAUACGCGAGGAACCUUACCAGGACUUAAAUGUAAGUUGCAUGAUUCAGAAAUGAAUCUUUCUUCGGACUACUUACAAGGUGCUGCAUGGUUGUCGUCAGCUCGUGCCGUGAGGUGUCAGGUUAAGUCCUAUAACGAGCGCAACCCCUAUCGUUAGUUGCCAACAGGUUAAGCUGGGAACUCUAACGAGACUGCCGGUGCAAACCGCGAGGAAGGUGGGGAUGACGUCAAAUCAUCACGGCCCUUACGUCCUGGGCUACACACGUGCUACAAUGGCCGGUACAGAGAGCAGCCACUCCGCGAGGAGGAGCGAAUCUAUAAAACCGGUCUCAGUUCGGAUCGCAGUCUGCAACUCGACUGCGUGAAGCUGGAAUCGCUAGUAAUCG